rnacentral:rRNA from 1 species
CACAUGCAAGUCGAACGCGAAAGUCCCGCAAGGGAUUAGUAGAGUGGCAAACGGGUGAGUAACACGUGGGUGACCUGCCUUCGAGUGGGGGAUAACAUCCCGAAAGGGAUGCUAAUACCGCAUGACAUCCUGCCUUUUAAGAGGCGGAGAUCAAAGCUGGGGACCGCAAGGCCUGGCGCUUGAAGAGGGGCCCGCGUCUGAUUAGCUAGUUGGUGGGGUAAUGGCUCACCAAGGCAUCGAUCAGUAUCCGGCCUGAGAGGGCGGACGGACACACUGGGACUGAGACACGGCCCAGACUCCUACGGGAGGCAGCAGUGGGGAAUUGUUCGCAAUGGGUGCAAGCCUGACGACGCAACGCCGCGUGGAGGAUGAAAACCUUCGGGUCGUAAACUCCUUUCGAUCGAGACGAAUGGUCCUGGGGUUAAUAGCCUCGGGAAAUGACGGUACCGAGAGAAGAAGCCCCGGCUAACUCCGUGCCAGCAGCCGCGGUAAUACGGGGGGGGCAAGCGUUGUUCGGAAUUACUGGGCGUAAAGGGCUCGUAGGUGGCCAACUAAGUCAGACGUGAAAUCCCUCGGCUUAACCGGGGAACUGCGUCUGAUACUGGAUGGCUUGAGUUCGGGAGAGGGAUGCGGAAUUCCA